rnacentral:rRNA from 1 species
CGUGCCUAACACAUGCAAGUCGAACGGAGUGUUGCGCUGAUUUGAUUCUAGCUUGCUAGAGGAUUUUCUUGUAACACUUAGUGGCGGACGGGUGAGUAACGCGUGAGGAACCUGCCUUCCAGAGGGGGACAACAGUUGGAAACGACUGCUAAUACCGCAUAAUGCAGCGUGGUCGCAUGACCGUGCUGCCAAAGAUUUAUCGCUGGAAGAUGGCCUCGCGUCUGAUUAGAUAGUUGGUGAGGUAACGGCCCACCAAGUCUGCGAUCAGUAGCCGGACUGAGAGGUUGAUCGGCCGCAUUGGGACUGAGACACGGCCCAGACUCCUACGGGAGGCAGCAGUGGGGAAUAUUGCACAAUGGGCGAAAGCCUGAUGCAGCGACGCCGCGUGAGCGAAGAAGUAUUUCGGUAUGUAAAGCUCUAUCAGCAGGGAAGAAAAUGACGGUACCUGACUAAGAAGCACCGGCUAAAUACGUG